rnacentral:rRNA from 1 species
CCUACGGGAGGCAGCAGUGGGGGAUAUUGCACAAUGGGGGAAACCCUGAUGCAGCGACGCCGCGUGGGCGAAGAAGUAUUUCGGUAUGUUAAGCUCUAUUAGUAGGGAAGAAGAAAUGACGGUGCCUGUGUAAGAAGCACCGGCUAAAUAAGUGCCAGCAGCCGCGGUAAUACGUAGGGUGCAAGCGUUAUCCGGAUUUACUGGGUGUAAAGGGAGCGCAGGCGGCACGGUAAGCCUGAUGUGAAAGCCCGCGGCGCAACCGCGGAACUGCAUUGGGAACUGGCGGGCUGGAGUGCAGGAGAGGUAGGCGGAAUGCCUGGUGUAGCGGUGAAAUGCGUAGAUAUUAGGAGGAACACCAGUGGCGAAGGCAGCCUACUAGGCGGUGACUGACGCUGAGGCUCGAAAGCGUGGGGAGCAAACAGGAUUAGAUACCCGUGUAGUC